rnacentral:rRNA from 1 species
UACAGAGGAUGCAAGCGUUAUCCGGAAUGAUUGGGCGUAAAGCGUCUGUAGGUGGCUUUUUAAGUCCGCCGUCAAAUCCCAGGGCUCAACUCUGGACAGGCGGUGGAAACUACCAAGCUUGAGUACGGUAGGGGCAGAGGGAAUUUCCGGUGGAGCGGUGAAAUGCGUAGAGAUCGGAAAGAACACCAGUGGCGAAGGCGAUCACCUGGGGUUGUUCUGACGCUGAGGAGCGAAAGCUAGGGGAGCAAACGGG